rnacentral:rRNA from 1 species
UACGGAGGGUGCAAGCGUUAUCCGGAUUCACUGGGUUUAAAGGGUGCGUAGGUGGGUUGGUAAGUCAGUGGUGAAGUCUCCAUGCUUAACAUGGAAACUGCCAUUGAUACUACUGAUCUUGAAUUUUCAGGAGGUAAGCGGAAUAUGUCAUGUAGCGGUGAAAUGCUUAGAUAUGACAUAGAACACCAAUUGCGAAGGCAGCUUACUACAGGAAUAUUGACACUGAUGCACGAAAGCGUGGGGAUCAAACAGG